rnacentral:rRNA from 1 species
AGCCGAGGCUGAUUCAUCAGGUACCGUCAUUGAUUCUUCCUGAUAAAGGGUUUACAACCAAGAGCCUUCCUCCCCCACGCGGUCUUGCUCCGUCAGGCUUGCGCCCAUUGCGGAAAACUUCCCC